rfam:Herbaspirillum seropedicae SmR1, complete genome.
GCUGAUGUAGCUCAGUUGGUAGAGCAACUGAUUCGUAAUCAGUAGGUCGACGGUUCGAUUCCGCCCAUCAGCA